rnacentral:rRNA from 1 species
GGACUUAUACAUGCAAGUCGAGCGGGCUCAUUUUUACCUUGCUAAUGAUGGUGAGAGUGGCACACGGGUGCGUAACGCGUGAGCAACCUGCCCUUAUUUGGGGGAUAUCCCGAAAAACUUCGGAUUAACACCGCAUUUUAUUACAGUUCCGCAUGGAAACACUAAUUAAAUAUUUAUAGGAUAUGGAUGGGCUCGCGUGACAUUAGCUAGUUGGUAGGGUAACGGCUUACCAUGGCUACGAUGUCUAGGGGCUCUGAGAGGAGAAUCCCCCACACUGGUACUGAGACUCAGACCAGACUCCUACGGGAGGCAGCAGUAAGGAAUAUUGGUCAAUGGAGGGAACUCUGAACCAGCCAUGCCGCGUGCAGGAUGACUGCCCUAUGGGUUGUAAACUGCUUUUGUCGGGGAAUAAACCUCUCUACGAGUAGAGAGCUGAAUGUACCCGAAGAAUAAUGAUCGGCUAACUCCGUGCCACCACCCGCGGUAAUACGGAGGAUCCGAGCGUUAUCCGGAUUUAUUGGGUUUAAAGGGUGCGUAGGCGGCCUUAUAAGUCAUGGGUGAAAUACUGCAGCUCAACUGUCCCAGUGCCUUUAAUACUGUAGGGCUUGAUCUAUUUGAAGUGGGCGGAAUAAAACAAAUAUCGAUGAAAUGCAUAGAUAUGUCUUAAACUC